UUUUAAAUUGAUUUAUUUCAAGUAUUUUGUCACAGUUACAGAAGGCUGACUAACACAGGGGUCAGCCUUGCACUUUGCCCCAUCUCUCUCCACAUAGCAGUCAGAGGUUGUGACAAACCUGCCAAAGUCCUCCAGGGACUGACAGUCACACUCAGGGUUACAGUCGUAGUCUCUGGCUGGCCCCAUGGCUUCUUAGCCAGUGUACUGUCCCUGAAAAUGUCCUGCCUGCUGACUUGACCGCCGUGUGGACUGGCUCAGGCCUGGGUACCUGUUCCUCUCUGCCUGGCAACCUGUGCUCUGCCCUGGCUCUGCAGGAAUGCAGUCCUUCAGAGGGCCCUUGAGUCUACCCUGUUGAAGAUACCUCCAUCUGUCACUGUUCCCUGUUGUUCCUCUGCCACUCAGCCCACCAGAUACUAGCAUUUCUAUUUCUCUUCUGCCAGAGAUUCCCUGCCAGAGGAUAAAGACCAGGAGGACAGGUCUGAGAAUGCCCACGGCAUGGCUGGGCAACCAGAGAACACCUGAGGUGGAGGUGCACGCGCCACACAAAGCAGAACAGCAGAGCUACCCGAGGACCAGCUGGUGCCACAGGUGAAGCUGUUGGCUGCCCUGGUUCUGGACUACAGAGCCUGGUACGGCUCACACACUGCUGGAGCCAGACAGAGCCAGGUGAGCCCAGAGCUGGGACUGUCACCAAAGGCCUGCCCAGCCCCACACAGGUUUCCUGAGGCCCCCUCCCCUCCCCCCUGUUCUCUCCCACUCCUCCUUCCCCCUCCCCCUCCCCCUUUUAUUUUAUUUUGAAAUAGGGGUCUUGCUAAGUUGCUUAGGGCAUCACUAAGUUGUGGAGUCUGGCCUCCACCCCUCCUUGCCAGCUGUAUUGAGCUAAGCAAUGCUACUCCUUCAGGCCUUCUGCCUUGACAUUCUGCCUCCCUCAGGCCCAGACCACAAGAGUUGACUGAGCAUGAACUGAAUCUCUGAAAGCAUGAGCCCAAAAUAAACUUUUCCUUCUCCAAGUUGUUCUCGUCAGGUAUUUGGUCACAGGGAUGCAAAGCUGCCUGCCCAGAUGGAGAAUGAGCAUGUGUUCCAGUCAGAAUGAGGCCAAUGGCGAAGCCUGAGAACGGACAGUGGCAGGUCCGGAGAGUCAAAGAUGUGCCAUCCGAGGCCAACCUAGGUGUUCAGGGGGUGGCUGCUACUUGUUGAACCUCAAGUUUCUGUGUUGUAGUAAUCCCCUGAACUUCUAAAUGUGACUAUUUGGAAAUAGUCUUUAAGGGAUGAUUAAAUUAAAAUGAGGCCCGUAGAGUGGCCCUAACCCAGCAUGCCUGCUGUCAUAAUAAAAGAGGAAAC
rnacentral:lncRNA from 1 species